rnacentral:rRNA from 1 species
UACGAAGGGUGCAAGCGUUAAUCGGAAUUACUGGGCGUAAAGCGUGCGCAGGCGGUUUUGUAAGUCAGAUGUGAAAUCCCCGGGCUCAACCUGGGAAUUGCAUUUGUGACUGCACGGCUAGAGUGUGUCAGAGGGGGGUAGAAUUCCACGUGUAGCAGUGAAAUGCGUAGAGAUGUGGAGGAAUACCGAUGGCGAAGGCAGCCCCCUGGGAUAACACUGACGCUCAUGCACGAAAGCGUGGGGAGCAAACAGG